rnacentral:rRNA from 1 species
UACAGAGGGUGCAAGCGUUGUUCGGAAUUACUGGGCGUAAAGCGUGCGCAGGCGGUUUUGUAAGCCAGAUGUGAAAUCCCCGGGCUCAACCUGGGAAUGGCAUUUGGGACUGCAAGGCUGGAGUACGGCAGAGGAGACUGGAAUUCCUGGUGUAGCAGUGAAAUGCGUAGAUAUCAGGAGGAAUACCGAUGGCGAAGGCAGGUCUCUGGGCUGAUACUGACGCUCAUGCACGAAAGCGUGGGGAGCAAACAGG